ACCCAAAGUCACUUUAGCCAACCUGAAAGGAGGCGAGUGCCAAGGUAUGGGGGAUAUUGGGGUGAAGUCGUAACAAGGUAGCUGUAGGUGAACCUGCAGAAGGAUCA
rnacentral:rRNA from 1 species